CCAAUAGCGUAUAUUAAAGUUGUUGCAGUUAAAAAGCUCGUAGUUGAAUUUCGGGAUUGGCGCAUCGGUCGUGCCUCACGGGGUAUGAACUGGUGCAGUCAAUUUCUCACCUUCUGGAGAACCGCGAUGUCCUUAAUUGGAUGCCGCGGGGAACCAGGACCUUUACUUUGAAAAAAUUAGAGUGUUUAAAGCAGGCAUUUUUGCUUGAAUACAUUAGCAUGGAAUAAUAAAAUAGGACGGCAUGGUUCUAUUUUGUUGGUUUCUAGGACCACCGUAAUGAUUAAUAGGGAUAGUUGGGGGCAUUAGUAUUCAAUUGUCAGAGGUGAAAUUCUUGGAUUUAUUGAAGGCUAACUACUGCGAAAGCAUUUGCCAAGGAUGUUUUCAUUAAUCAAGAACGAAAGUUAGGGGAUCGAAGACGAUCAGAUACCGUCGUAGUCUUAACCAUAAACUAUGCCGACUAGGAAUCAGACGAUGUUAAUUUUUUAAUGACUCGUUUGGCACCUUACG
rnacentral:rRNA from 1 species